AAAAGUGGGGCAUCUAAGGUUAGUCUGCAAGUCGAGCGGACAGAUGGGAACUUGCUCCCUGAUGUUAGCGGCGGACGGGUGAGUAACACGUGGGUAACCUGCCUGUAAGACUGGGAUAACUCCGGGAAACCGGGGCUAAUACCGGAUGGUUGUUUGAACCGCAUGGUUCAGACAUAAAAGGUGGCUUCGGCUACCACUUACAGAUGGACCCGCGGCGCAUUAGCUAGUUGGUGAGGUAACGGCUCACCAAGGCGACGAUGCGUAGCCGACCUGAGAGGGUGAUCGGCCACACUGGGACUGAGACACGGCCCAGACUCCUACGGGAGGCAGCAGUAGGGAAUCUUCCGCAAUGGACGAAAGUCUGACGGAGCAACGCCGCGUGAGUGAUGAAGGUUUUCGGAUCGUAAAGCUCUGUUGUUAGGGAAGAACAAGUGCCGUUCAAAUAGGGCGGCACCUUGACGGUACCUAACCAGAAAGCCACGGCUAACUACGUGCCAGCAGCCGCGGUAAUACGUAGGUGGCAAGCGUUGUCCGGAAUUAUUGGGCGUAAAGGGCUCGCAGGCGGUUUCUUAAGUCUGAUGUGAAAGCCCCCGGCUCAACCGGGGAGGGUCAUUGGAAACUGGGGAACUUGAGUGCAGAAGAGGAGAGUGGAAUUCCACGUGUAGCGGUGAAAUGCGUAGAGAUGUGGAGGAACACCAGUGGCGAAGGCGACUCUCUGGUCUGUAACUGACGCUGAGGAGCGAAAGCGUGGGGAGCGAACAGGAUUAGAUACCCUGGUAGUCCACGCCGUAAACGAUGAGUGCUAAGUGUUAGGGGGUUUCCGCCCCUUACUGCUGCAGCUAACGCAUUAAGCUCUCCGCCUGGGGAGUACGGUCGCAAGACUGACACUCCAACGGAAUUGGAUUUGGGCUCGUCUCAUUUCCGUAGCAGCAUGUUGUUUCAUUUCUUAUACAUAUAUGUUU
rnacentral:rRNA from 1 species